rnacentral:siRNA from 1 species
AGAUACGAGGACAUGUACUAUCAC